rnacentral:lncRNA from 1 species
AACCACUCUGGAAUAUGAGAAGUGCUCUGAGCCAGGGAAGAAGUACCUGCUCCUCCUACAAGGCCCAGCAGUAUCAGCGACAGAUUAUGCUUUUGCAAAACUAGGUUUACAAUAUCACGAAUAGUUUGCGGGCGGAGAAUAUUUCCACAGAACAGGAAGGAUGAUUUCUUCAGACAGACAAAGCUUUGCUGGAGCGUUUCUGCCGUCAACAGUCAAGUGGAGGAAAGACAGUGACAGUGGAUAAACUGCAGAAGCUGCUCCAGGAUCUGGGAGCACAGCCUCCUGACCAUGCAGGGAGAGGUGUCAGGAGAGGCCCCGCAAGACACCCAGAGGAGACCCUUCAGUUGUAAAGGCUGAGGAGGAACUUCCAUCUGGGCUUUUCUGAGGAUGAGUGAACUAGCUCAUCUAGCAACCGGGAAUUGGUGUGCAACACUGGCCAAGUCCUAAACCUCUCUAAGCCUCAGUUUCAUCUCCUAUGAGUGGUACUGGGAUUCUGAUGAGGUUUUAAUGAGUGAAGAAUAAGUACAAUGCCUGGCACAUGGUAAGUGCUCAGUAAACGACAGCUGUUAAUACCAUUAUGAAUCUAAUAAGCACAUGACAAUGUCCUUGCAGGGACAUUAGGUCAUUAUAUAAGAUAUCAGGAAUAACCUGAGGUUUUUUUGUUAUAUAUUGUAACCAAGCCAGUAUUUGGGAGUCAAAGCAUCUUGUUUGAGUCAAUUGAAGUCAUUUUCAGCCUAAGUAAGAAGUCUGAAAGUCAUAAUAGUGACUAGUUAAAUAUCCCCAAGCAUUCAGGAAUUAGGAACCUUUUAGUAAUGAAAUUGUGGAAAACUCAAUUUGUUAACUGUUAGAAAUAUGUUAAUGUCUGACCAAAGAGUUUCUCUCUACCAAGAGGUUUGUGGGCUGCCACUGGAAAGCGAGGAGACAAUAGGCUCUUACCACUGUCUAAAGGGGCAGAGUGUAUUCACCUGUUCAAAGAGAAAGUUGGCUCUUGAUUUCAGCCAACUGAAACAUAGAAAAUGGGAA